rnacentral:rRNA from 1 species
GCGGAGGGAUCAUUGCUGGAACGCGCCCCAGGCGCACCCAGAAACCCUUUGUGAACUUAUACCUUACUGUUGCCUCGGCUCUACGUGGUCCUUCGGGGCCCCUCACCCUCGGGUGUUGAGACAGCCCGCCGGCGGCCAACCUAACUCUUGUUUUUACACUGAAACUCUGAGAAUAAAACAUAAAUGAAUCAAAACUUUCAACAACGGAUCUCUUGGUUCUGGCAUCGAUGAAGAACGCAGCGAAAUGCGAUAAGUAAUGUGAAUUGCAGAAUUCAGUGAAUCAUCGAAUCUUUGAACGCACAUUGCGCCCUCUGGUAUUCCGGAGGGCAUGCCUGUUCGAGCGUCAUUUCAACCCUCAAGCCUGGCUUGGUGAUGGGGCACUGCUUUUACCCAAGAGCAGGCCCUGAAAUUCAGUGGCGAGCUCGCCAGGACCCCGAGCGCAGUAGUUAAACCCUCGCUCUGGAAGGCCCUGGCGGUGCCCUGCCGUUAAACCCCCAACUUCUGAAAAUUUGACCUCGGAUCAGGUAGGAAUACCCG